GUCAAGCGUUGUGCAAUCACUUCCCAGUAAGCGCACGCAUGGCACGGCCUGGACCUGUUGUUGUUUUGCUGGGUUUCCUGGGAAGCUGAGCCUCGUCCGCUUCCAACUUUCAGUGAUCUGGUGCCUCCCCCUUCAUGCUACCUUAUAGCCGGAUAGCGUUGCAUGAAUGGGAAGUUGUGUAAUGUGAGUUUCCACUAUCAUGGUGCAGUUGUUGGCUGCCCCACAGCUGUGUCCUCUAAACCCGACCACUUCUCUCCCCUUCUUUCCUCGCCGCUCACUUGCCCUCUCCCACCCUUUAAAGUGGAUGUUUUGAACACUCCUCUACCUUCUCUUAACUUGGUGUCUGUCCCUCCCCCCUCCUCCCCACCCCACUCUCCCACCCCUCUUGUCUUCCUUGUUUUGCUCACUCUUAGUUAGUGUGUCCCUGCCAUGUGGUCGACUGUCCUCCUCUCGGGCCUCCGCGGUGCGUGCUCCACGGCGCUCCUGGGCUGGCCUCCGCAUCUUCACUCCUGACUCGCACCAGAGAGACUGCGUGUCAAGUCACCAGUAGGACGCCCCGCCAUCGCCCCCACUAAUCUGAAGUUGAGGACAGGAAUGACAUGAAAAGCAUCUCAUUUUUCUGUGGAUGAUCUUGUCCGGUGUCUGCUGGAAGCACUUACGUAGGACGUGUCCCAACAAGAUGAAGCAACCACAGAGAAAUUCCUCCAGAAAUGGAAUGUGAUCACAUUUGUCUGAGGGGACAACCUUCCUCAAGGAGCACCCUCCCCCCGUGUGGACCAGCCCCCCCGCCCAGGUUCCAGCCAGUGAUGACACAGCUCGGUACGACUCACUUCCCCAUUAAUUGGCUGAAACCAGUUCUGACAGGAACCGCCUGCGAUAAAUGUGAGAGUUCUGAGAAGUCAUUCAGUUCUCCUCGCUGCAGCGGCAGAGGAGGCACGGCGAGGGAGUUGAACGGGUUCAUCUGCGUGCGUGCGUGCGUGCGUGUGUGUGAGAGAGAGAGCGGGAGGAAGCUGAGUGUGUGAGACAGGAAAGCAGAGUGUGAGAAUGCGCUGCUGCCGCCGCCGUAUGAAGACCAGGCAACUUUGAUUUUGUGUGCUUUUUUUGUAUUAUUUCAUUUUAUUGUUACCGUUUUGUGUGUGCGUGUGCGCGCGCGCGUGUGUGUGUGUGAUCAGCGAUGGGAUUGCACUCUCCCAGCCAUCGUAGAGGAGAUAGGACAGCAUGCCUCCCUUUGUGGCUGACGUGUAUCUGGGCUGGGUGCGGCACUGCAGAAAGCCUUCAAGGGAGCGCUCGGAGGCCUCCAGAGGGCCAAGCCGCACUGGAGAGGGGGUCCCAACUGUAAGUACAGGGGGGGCCUUGGACCCCUCCAUCCCACCCCACAACCCCCCACCUCAACCCCCCCAGCUCACUGCCUCUAUUCAUUCACAUGUGCGUGCCGAGGAAGGAAUGUUGCCCCCUCACUUUAGCCUCUUUCACUCGCUCUCCCGCCACUUCUUUCUGGAUGUGACAAAAUUCGGGUUGCGUCUUCCGUGAGAUGCCAAAGAAACGCUGAUGUUGUACAGUACAACACCGGGCAGGGUGGGCGGAGAGGUGGUAGAGGCGGGGGGGGGUGCUCUGUAUUGACUACUAUAGCGUGCUGACUCAUGCUCCGUCUUACCAGUUGGGAGUAUAGUGAGUACGGUCCCUCCCAUGUGCGUCUCACAUCUUGCACUCGGUGCCCCGCCUGAACUCAGCACUCAAUGUAGACCGGGGCGGGGGCAGCCACCCAAACGCCCCCCCACCACCACCCCACCUCCACCAGUGACAAUCCAUCAAAACCUCCCUGUCUAGAACAAAAAGAGCCAGUUGUAGCUGCAGCCCAUGUCCUCCUUCAAAGCUUCUCUCCCUCCUUUUUUUUUUUUUUUUAUGAAAAUGUCCUUUUUUUACGGGCUUACGUGGAAUGAGAAGAUUGGACGGGGGGGGGACUUUAAGUUCCAUAAAGACAGAUUAAGGCAUUUGAAGAACAAUGUUCCUUUUUUCUUGUAACUGGAGCCUGCCGCAGUUACAGGAGAGCGGCGAGGCAAUUUAACUCACAGGGCCGGGGUCAGCGGGGGCGCUCCGAGGGAGGACGGUGGGGGUUGCGACGUGUUUUAUUACCCCUGAUCUCUAUCUGUCCUGCACAUGGAGCUGGAUUCCUAGCUGGCCCGCAGCAGAGGGGUGAGCGUGGGGUGUUAGGAGGGGUGCCCCCGCACUCACUCAUCAGGCUCUGCUCCGUUCUCUCAGGAGGAGGUCUGGACGGCGGACCGGUGGAGAUGUUUGUGGUCACCUCUGUCCAUGGGCCCUGAGUGACAAGCAAAGGAGCAUCAGUCGGGGAGGCCUCCUUGUCAACUUGUGGUUGGUGCUUCGGGGUGCGUAAGCUCGUGUGUUGCAGCCACACUGCUGGGACCAACCCCUCCUCAUCUUGCUCCACUUUGUUUGGCCAUUCCGCAUUUAUUAGUCUUCCGAGUAGUUUGAUGAGCUGUGUAAGUGUUUGCACAAGCUCUCAGUCAUCUGUCGGGAAGAUGUUAUUGCUGCAAGCUGCUCAGGUCUGCUCCUAAGUGCUUUUAGAAGUCAUCUCGCUACCUUCGGAGGAGAGAACGUUAAAACGGCCGUGAAUCAUCCCGGGUCGGUUCCUUUGUCUGCCCUUAUUGUUCUGCCUACAGGAAGAGAGCAUGAGUCAGCUUACCAGGCGCACGCAUGCAUUGAAUCAGACGGAGAUGGUGUCUUUUACGUGUGGGUUUAUUUUCCACGUAGACACGGACGGGUGAGUCUUUUCUUUUUUAACCCACGUUAGGCACCCCCUAAUUCCCCUUUUUGCUCCAGUGUCUUUUUGCCGUGAAAUGUUCUAUUUUAUCCCGCUCUACGCUGGACUGAGCGCAGGAGGAGGGGAGAAAAGAAAAAAAAAGCCUCCAGCGCGCAGAGAAAAGCGUCUGUGCCGUUACCUCAGCUGAACCCUCAAAUGAACCCGUUGCACUGCCUUCAGUCGCAGCGCCAGGAGACGAUUCACUCGGGCAGAUUCAAAACAGAGAGGUACUGUUGGACGGGGCUCUCUGAUCAAGCUUCCUCUCGCAACAUUCCCAUCUCUCCCACUUUUCCCCUGCCAGGAGGAUUAUUAGGCUUUGUUCUGUCCCACGUCCUCGCGGUCGUCCGUGCUGUCCUGUCACAUAGCUUAUCAGACUGGUGUUGGCUGUUAAGAUUGUAAGGCGACAACAGUCUGUAGGCUGUCUGACAUUUCGGGCUCCUUCAUCUGACCAGCAUCCUGUUUUGUCCUCUUUUUCUGUUCUGUCUUUGUCUCAGCUAGCAUCAGUUCCCAUUUCAGGGUGGGUGUGUGACCAUGAUACUUCCCUUUAUCCCAACCGCCUGUGAAGCACAGGAGAAGAUGGCUUUAUUGUUGCUGACGUGCGAGGCGUUUUCAAAUGUGGAACCGUGCAUUCAUGUGUGUGUCAAUACUGGUGUGUGUAUGUGUGUGUGUGUGUGUGUGUGUGUGUGUGUGCAUGUGUGUGUGUGUGUGUGUGUGUGUGUGUGUGUGAGCUAUCUGUGUCCUCUUGAAUUUCCAGAGACUCCAGACAGUACACACCUCA